CAGUGCGGGGCCGCGAGCCCUGGCGGGGCCGGCCCGUCCCGCUGUCCCCGGAGCGCCGGGAGCGGACGGUGCGCGCUCGGAGCUGAGGAUGGAUUCGCGAGGGAGGCAGAAGACGUUUGCGGAGCAGCCACGGAGACCUGGGGAAGGCGGGGGUCUCGCAGCAGCAGCUUUACAGGCAUCUUCGUUCGGGAGCACCUCCACACCUGUAAGAUUUCCCUGAUCUCCCUGCUCCUGGCUGGGAUCCCCUUUGGGGGCUGUGGACAGAAGUAGCCCUUCUGCAGUAAAACAGAUGUACUGUCAAAAGAGGCUGCAGUGGUUAAAUCACAGUUUGUACCAGUAUCCCAGACAGUUGUUUGUUUCCCAGGAAAGCUUACUCUACCUACCGCAGGCUUUUGGCAGCUGAAGAAGUUUGUGGAAGCAGAAUAUUUGCUGAUAAAACUCACAGCGGUGGCAAACUGCUGUUGUGAAGGACAAAGGUUUGAGAUCUGAUCUUAUUCUCUCAUCUCCUGCUGAGCUGGGAGCUGUUAAAGUAAGCUUCUGUAUUUAUAUUACAUGACUGGUAUGACUGCACACACUAGAAGGAAAUUAAGACUUCAAAAAGACAUUCCUCAUCAUAGAUGUUCAGGGUUUAUAUGUCUAUUUUUAUAGAAAAGGGUCUAAUUUGCUGCUUGCUUACUUUGCUAAAAAUCAAAGAAGAACUUAGAUGGAGUGUGAGGAGUUAAAUCAUGUUUGGUGAGGAAAAUCAGGCCUGUCCUGUGAAGUGUCCAGUUGUGCUACUGUUCUGAACAGGAAAAUUAAAAGUUGUCUGGAUAUUAAACAUAUGUGUGAAUUCAGCUAUCCUGAGAGACUGUAGUUGCCUGCAUACCUUGAACCCUCCCAAAAAGCAUGUUUUUGAAAUUGAGGAUGGUUGCAGAGUGGCCUGUGUGAACAGCCACGAACACUUGCACACCAGCCCAGUCCACGUGAACCACGGCAGGGGAGACAAAGCCAAACCUGAAAAUCUAUCUCAUCAAGUUACCUAAUUGCCAUCCCUCUGAUGUGCUGUGACAGCCCACCUGUGAUCUGGAGACACAAUCUGGAAAAUUAUUGCGACAUGUAACAAUAAUCUGAGAGAUGAGCUGUGAUUGCAGUGGAUUCCUCAGGACAGAAGCAGGAUUUUUAAGUGGCUUGUUUUUUCCCUAAUGCCUGUGAGCCUUGCUGGUUUCCUGUAUUGCAGGGUCUCGUGGUGGGUUUUUGGAGUGUCUGGGGGCACACUGUGUUUGUGUUUAGUGUUUUGACUGACUUGUGAUUUGAUCGCCCUAACUUACUAAAUCCCUCUACAUUAUGAAUUCCCAUUGUGAAAGGUAUGGAAAAUCAUACUUAAUUGCUUCUAAGCAGGGCAGAUAAAAAUAUGAUAAAAAGAUGAUUCAGUGAUAUGAAGGUGAAAUAUAAAAAAAUAUGUGAAAUGCAGAUUGAUGCUAUUCCCAGCGUGCAUGCUACUGUUUUUUGGUUGUUUUUUUUCCCUAUUUAAGUUUACUUAUAAGAUGAAACUGUACCUGAGAAAAGGAGUAGCUUCAUACUGCCAUUUAAGCUGUAAGUCUAGUGUCUGAUUUUAGUGGAAGGUGCAGUCUUCUGUCUUGAUUUCCAGAGUGCUUCCAUGGUAUAUCUGAAUUGCUGAACCUGAAGUUAACUUACCCAGAGCUCUUGGCCACCAUGGCCAGGCUAUUUGGUGCCUCAGCCUGAGCCAGUCUGAUUAGAUUGAGUUACCUUCUCCAUACAUGGCACUCUGCAGUAGGCAGGCACAGACUUCAGACACAGCCAGAUUGCCCCAGUUCCACUCAUAUCCACACACCCACGGGCUGGCUGUACCUCUGUAGAUGGAGAUCUGCAUUUCUGUGAUGUGUAUGCUGUCUGAACCUCACCCUCAGCAUUUCUGAGCAAAACCAGAUGCUUUGCAAAGCAAAAGGCACCACGAGGCCGCCAAAAGGUGUAUUUGUUUGUAUUCAGAGUAAGGUGUCUGAAUGGGGCUUGUUCUGGGUUCCCUUGGUACAGCUCCCUGCAGGAUGAACCCCAGGUCAGAGCAGGGAUACACAGCUCUGCUGCUUGUAAACAUGACACGUGCACCCAGUGACACAGAGUAGAAGGAAAUAGUCAUUGUGCAAUCUGCAGGCAGCAUAAUCACUGUGAUCACAGUAACAUGAUGACUUGUUUAAUUUAUUUUAAGGCUGACACGCUUGCCUUGUUUUGCUGUGUGAGCCAAUGAUGUUUUAUCAUCUCAUGUGAACCCUGGGAGAACCAGGCAGUGAUCUUUUUUUAAAUCCAAGUGUGUCAAAUGCAUAACUCUGAAUAUAACACUGAGCUGCUUUACCCUGACUUGAGCUCUCGAGCAGACAGACGAGCAAGUCUCAUGUUCAGUCAAUGUAGAAUCUAUUUAGUGUAAUCUCCUUGCUGAGAACUUCCACUGAGAGCACUUUCUGAGGAAGAGGCUCAAAGCUUUAUGAAGUGUAACAAUAACCUGGGACAGCUUGGCCUGGAAAUGUCUUUCUAACCCCCACAUCUUUUUGUCAGCUACUUUAUGCACUGGAAAGUGAAACCACAAAUUCAUCUUACACUGAUGGAACAGUCAUAAAGUGGUUAUGACUGUGGCCCUUUGCUUGCAAAUUGACCACAUGUUUAACCAAGAGGACAAAGUCUCAUGAACUGUCCUGCACAAGGAGAUUCAGUGCCACUCUAAAGGCAUGAAGUUCCUUGGCAUCCACAGGCACAGACCCAAUGGUCUGCUCGGUUGUGCUGUUCAGCUGGUACAGAUGGAAUGUUUGUAUCAGCCCAUAAUGGUUUUUUUCUGCUCUGAAAGAAGCACAGAAGAAGUAAACAGUGUGAGUCCUCCGGUAGGUGUCUGAGCAAUUUAAGCUGCAAAGUGACACCACCAAUAUCAGAAGAUCAUUAAUAGGUUGCAAGGAAGGGUGUUGACCCUCUAUUAAGUUUUUCAUCCUUCCUGCAUUACACAAGAGGUUAACAAGUUACUACACCCAGUCCAAGGCACUAUUAGGAGCCAUGUUCCACAUGACAGUGUCUCUGGGAGGAAGAAGGACAGAUUAAUGUGACGAAGGAAGGAAAGUCAGGUCAGUGAGCCUAAGAAAGUCUGAACAUUUCUCAUGUACUCAACCAUACCCUGGCAAGCCUGAAUAAAUGGAAACUUUCCAGGACACCUAAGACAACAGAAUGCAGGACUUCUGGGUUUUGUUUUUUAACUCAUUAGUACUGAGAUACAUAUACUAAAAUCUAGGCAUUGCAAGUAAUAUGGAUUAAGAAAUGAAGGGCAGUAAGACAUACCUAGUUGAUUUUUAUGAGAUACAGACAUGUUUUAGUUCAGAACUUCUGUAAAACAAGGUAUGAUCUUUGCAGCCAGAAUGGUCUGAAAUUUCCCAAGCUGUAAUCCAGACAGUGCCAUCACAGCUUCAAGAUUAAAACCUACAUCUUUGAACUGUAAGCAGCUUUCUCUUCUCACUACAAAGAAUUAUGGGUGAUUCCAAGAAUUUAGGAGACUGAUACACACUUAUUUCCCUAUCCUAGUGAUUUUCUGUAUGUGCCAUCUUUAGUUGUUCUACUUAAUAAAAAUAAGCCAUCCCGAUUCAGAGCACAUAUUUUGGUAUUAAUAUAUGAAACAGUAAUUUAAGUUGCAUGUAUGGGAGGUAGGCAGACUGCAGGAGUGAUGCAGACAUAAAAAGUAGGGUAGUAAGAUGACUCCUGUCAUACAUGUCACAGGCAUUUAGCCUCUUCCAGUCCUCACACUGUCCAGCAAACUGGUUUUGGGGAUCAUGUUCACACAACCCAGCCAGUAUUACUGUUCUCAUACCUAAGCAGCAAAUUGUAACCUCCACGCCCACGCCUGGCUAUCAGCAUCAAUACAGUGGGGCAGGCUAAAGGAAAACAUGCAUUAACCACGUCUGUAUAUAACAGUUCUGGUUUUAAAUUGGUUCAUUCUAGCUCAUAUUUUAUCUCAUUUCACAACUCUGUAGAGCGGGAGCUGUGUCUUAUGUUUCUGGGAUGCUGAACAGGACACCGAGCAGGCCUGGGGUCUUCGGUUGGAGUUACCACACCAGUACUGAUCACUGAGUGUUCCUGUGUGCCACUGCAGGACAGGACAGCCCAGAAGAAGAUACCACUUCCCUUUUCAGAGAGGCAAAGGAGGGAUGCAGCUCUCAGCAGCAGACUUUUUCACCAAAAACUCUUUGGAGCUUUUCUGACUCCAAUACUUAACAACUCCUGGUUUCCCUACUUUUUUAAGUGAGUAGGUCGGCUGCCAUUCACAGAGACCAAUUACCAUUUUAAGAGCAGCUUUUUGGCACCAGAAAUAUUUAUAUGGAAAACAGCCUGUCAUGGUUUAACCCAAGCCAGCAGCUGAGUACCAUGCAGCUGCUCACACACAUCCAGUUGGAUGGGGAAAGAAGGAAAACGAGUUCUGCCCCUUUAUAGCUUGAUGGCAUUAGGGUACACUGUGCACAGGUAUCUCCUAGAGCCUUACACUCCUGUGGGUCUGAUGUGCCAGGACAUCUGAUCCACACAGUCCUGUAAACUCAGCUGUCCCUCCCCUCCACCUGUCAGGAGGCAGGGCCCCUCCAGUACUGGUUUUAGGAUUCUCCACUUCUUGUAAAAACAGAUCAGAAUUUUUUUCCAUAGGAUCAGAGGAGUAAGAUUAGCCCUUCCUCUCUGUCUUGGAACUGCCCACUGGACAGUGGAGCAGCAACUUUCCUGGAAGAACCUCCAUUUGUGAUUGUUUUUCUCUGUUUCACAAUUAGCAAUUUUAUCAUAUCAUAAGCCAGUGUUACAAAGUACAACAGAAUCAACCUUAGCUCAGCCCCCAGAGGUGAUAAACAGCACAAAGGGAACACACACACCAAGUGAGGCACUGCAUGAUGCAAACCUGAGAACAAGAGCAACACCUCUUGAGAACAAACAAAUCAACAUUGUGUCCAAUGACUAUUAAAUUAAUAUAAUGAAUGCUUGUAAUAAAUUUGUUUUACACGCUCUGGUCA